UUUCCGUAGGUGAACCUGCGGAAGGAUCAUUAUCGUACAAAAUGUGAGGGGUAUGCGAGGGCUGUCGAUGACCCAAAGUCGUGAACCGCCGUGUGUGUCCUCUUGCCUAAUAAUCCAUUUCACACUUUGUGCAUCACCGCGUGGGCACCAUUCGGGAUCAUCUCGGAGGGGGGGUUCGCGUUUUCACACUAACCCCCCUUUUAAUAGUGUAGACUGACCACAUUUAUGCAAUCAAUACAACUUUCAACAACGGAUCUCUUGGCUCUC
rnacentral:misc_RNA from 1 species